UUGUUUUCUUUAAAAUAAUUUACUUAAAAAUAAAUUAUAUUGAAUUUUAGAAUUGACUGACCCUUAGCUAAAAGACUAAGGUAUCUAAAGAAAAAAUUUCAUUAACAUCCACUACAUACCUUAUUUCUGAAAAAGAAAAAUGCACGGAAAAAAAAAGUUCGCGGCGAAGCGUAAAAUGGUUUUCGCAGUACAACGUCAGCAUUUAAGUGCAGACAAAAUUAAAAUUUUGAACAGACUAUCUAGUGAUAUUAAUUAACACUUCGGCUAUCCUGAAAAACUCUACUUUUUAAGUGGCGCCAAAUAAUACGCAAAAGAGCGACUUACCCCUAAGCCAACUAGCCCCGGUCUCCCCUACUCAUAUUCAAGUGACAGCAAGAUAAUAAACUAGCCCCCCAAGUCAAAGUCCGUGUGGAAACUACUAAACAGUAUUCCACUUAACUUUUGCUUCAGGCGGGGAGGUGCGGGAAUUAGGGAGAAGACAGGUUUGAUUUAAACACCACCUUUAACACUUUUUUUAUUAUCUUCAUCGCCAAAAAACUGGCACUUGCUUUCCGAAGUAAGUAUGGGCUGGCUGGCAACCAGUCAUCUGUUCACCUCAAAUUUUCUUUUCCGUCAGGGUAGACAACUGAAUUGUGACAAACCCGAGAAUACAAAGUAAAACAAAGGUCCAGAACACUUGCAGUUAUUGGUUCGAAGCAAAAGCGGAAGAUUACUUUACUUCUUUCAACCGUCUUCAGCUAUAGAUAAGACUUCAUUUUAUCUCAUUUGUACCGAGCUACUAGAAUGGUGUUGGCAUUUUCAACAAAAAUGCCUGUUAUUUCCAUGAACAAAAUUAUCGAAACUAUUCAACAACUCUCCGAAUUACACAAUUGAUUGGAGAAACACAGAGUUUAUAAUGGCAAUGAGGGAAUACGAGUUCAAUCGUAUUAGAAUUAAACAAAAGAUAUUAAGGGUAGAACACAUGAAAUGUAAAGCUUACGGGGUCAAACCACUUGAUUGUCAUUGUGAUGGUAACAUGAAAUGUUACAGAUGUGAAUCGGCUCAUAGCCAUGGAGCCAAAGAGUUGUUGGAAAAUGUGGCCAUAGCCAAAAAUUAUGAAGUAGAAGCUUUUGUUGCGGAAGCAAACAAAGCUUUUCAUGAGACUAGGAAACGCGGCGUGCGGUGGUUCCACUUUUAAAGCUGGGCAAUCUGAUUCCCAUUCCCAUUCAAAGAAAAUGGAUGAAACGGCAAUUUUGUGUAUGUGAUGUCGUCACGGUUUAGUACUCCGUGCAGCAAACAUUCAUCGAGGAGACACAUACCGAAUUAGGAACCAUCGACCCUAAAAUUGCUUGCCUUACCCAAAAGCUUUUUAAGAUUUCAUGGGAAAGCGCAUACUUGGUGAUGCCAGGUAUUAUGUUUCGGUCAUUUUCGGAAAGGCGCUGCUGCGACUGUUGGAGAGGAAAUUGAGCAGGGUUUCAGUAAAAUCUCCAGAUACAAUGUUUCUAAAAAACACAUGACUAGCUCUAGAAAGCAUUUUUAAAUUUAGUUGCGAUUUUACGUUAGCCUUUUACAUUUUUUACUUUCAGACAGAAACGAUCGCCUAAGUAAAGGUUUUAUUUAUGAAAACGAAAGUAAAGAGAAUAAAAUGGUUUUUACUUUGCCUAAACGUCUUAAGACGGUGAAUAAAAAUGUAGAGUAGCUUAAAUGUUUUCUCCCAACUCCCACUAAAUUACGCAACUAGAAUUGAAUCCAAAUAGAAUUGGAGGGUAUUGCACUGGCAAUAUGUAACAGAAUUCCCAUUCUACAAGCAUGGUUUCUUCAUUUUCUCUCCCCAAAAUCCCUCGUCACACAGACUCUACUAGAAUUCACCAUAAAACUGCAAGUAGCAACAGAAUAAACCUAUUUCCAAUCGACUCCCCAAAAGACACCUGCGCCACACGAAGACACCUUCUUACAUCAGCCGACUGAAACAGGAGCACCCUCGUCUAGCCGAAAACUUCCAGAACAUCUUCCUACCUGUUUGUACUUCUAGAAUAUUCUUGCACCUGCACCACACACGCCAGAAUAUUCAUACUCUUCUUAGAUUAAGAUCACAAUGUAUAAAUAACCCUUAGAUUUAGAAAUAUUUUUACUUAUUAUUCUCUUAAACCCUAGUUAACUGACCUAUCCCAACUGUCACCAUAGUUCGGGGCUGGCUUUAACACAGGACUAUUAUACUAAUUUAUACCUCAAACUGACGCUUUCUCCAGUAAAUCGUACGGCCUAAAACUAUAAUUCUUCUCAACCUCCCGUGACUCAUCCUUUCGGAUGGGUACCCCUUAACCUCCCUAAUAUUCGACUUAAAUGGGUUGACAGAACUGUCAACUCGAGUCGGGGGUUGCUUUUGUACGGAGCCAUCUUUCCCUACGGUUUUCCUUAUUCGGGUAACGGCAACAUCUUUUCCAUAUAAAAGACCGUGACUGACUCUCGCAAUACAUUUUCUUUUUAGUUUUCUUUCCGGUUCCAUCUCGGUUCUUUUCGAGCUCUGUGACCUAACAGCUCUGUUUAAAGUACCAGUUUAGUUCAAUUAACUUAAUUCGUUGAAUCGGGUAUUACCUCUCACAUUGUUUAACCGUUCCCAAUUGGUAUGUCACACCUAACUUAACUUAUAAUUGUAGACUUAGACUUGGUAACCAAUACAUUUGCAUUGUGGAUUA
rnacentral:lncRNA from 1 species